GUUCAAAGAAAAGGCUAAACCUUAAGUUGGUCCCUGACAGUACACCAAGGUGUUUUGGCCAGUUCAAGCUCCAGUCUUCUGUCGUCUCAGGCGAAGCGGAUUUUCUCCAGAAAUGUGAUACAUUGAAAAACAAAGAGCAACUUAUUUUCAUGUGCGGUUAAAUAAAAUUUGUCUGUUUAAAAA